AUUAUCUUCAGAUUUCCAGAGCUCUGUCUUUGUACAGCCCUCUCCUCCUCAAUAUUCUGCCCUAUGAAUUCUAGCCACAUUUGCCUUCCCAGACUCACAGUUCUGUCCUCUAAACUCAGGAAGAUGUCUGAGCUCCAUCUGCAUUCUUUCUUCCUGUGCUGUGGCCUGGAGAGUUUUCUAAGGUGUUUGGGAGGUCAAUUGUUGCGCUAGCCUCAUUUGUUUCUCAUUUCUUGAGGAUCACUGCCCUUUGAUGCUUGAUUCCAGUGAUUGAUUCCCUUUGUUGCUGGAGGGCCAUAGUUUCAUAUAUUUUGUCCAGUAUUUUUGUUGUUUUAGGUCAGAAAGUAAUUUUGGUCUCUGUUACUCCAUGUUGGCCAGAAGUGUAAGACCUAAGCAUUUACACAUCAAAAUACUGCACACAUAAUUUUAGUUUAAGCUACUUUUUAAAAAAUCUCCUUCAUUUUCCAUUUAGCAUUCUAUUUAGGGUAUUACAUUGGUUUUUUUGAAAUUCUGUUAUUGGCAGUUUCUAUUGCCUAUCAAUCCCAUUUAAAGAUAGUGCAUAGGGUAUUCUAAAAUAGCUGUUAAGCAAAGAGAAAAUUGGGCCCGAUAGGGUGAGAAUCACAGCUCUAAUACCUAGAGUGACCUUAUAAUGUAUUGUCCAAAGGAGAUAUUUUUGACAGUGAAAGAGGGUGUUGUUAGUAAUUAUAUCAGGACCAUGGCCUAAACCAGGACUAUCCCAGGCAGCCUGGGACAUAUUUGUACCCCAUCUCUAUUUAAUGCCUUUAUACAAUUCUUUACUUAAUUCUACCAGCCUUUAUUGAGCCUGCUUUCUUUGUCUAGCUGAGUGCCACAUGCUGACAUCACUAAGAUCAAUACAGCAAACUCUGAAAGAUGGACAGAGAGACAGGAGAUGGUCCUUUAUCAUGCAGUGUGAUCUGUGCUGCAAUAGAGAUGGAAGAGUGUUCUGAUCGGCUGGAAAACAACGCACAUUGGAAGUUGUACGGAAAUGAGUGGGGAAAGUUUUGGAAGCUAGAAGUUCAAAACGAGGUGUUGGCAGCACCAUGCUCUCUCUGAAGAUGCUAGGAAGAAUCUGCUCCAUGCCUUUCCAUUCGCUUCUGGGGUUUCCUGCAAGCCCUGACAUUCCUUGGCUUGUAGAUGCAUCACCCCAGUUUCCACCCCCAUCAUCACAUGGCCUCCUCUCUGUGUGUGCCUCUGCAUUCCCUCUAUUCUUCUUCUAAGGACACCGACACCAGUCAUAGUGGAUUAAGGGUCCACUCCUAACUAAUUACAUCUGCAACAACCCUAUUUCCAAAUAAAGUCACAUUCUAAGA